ensembl:ncRNA F11D5.23 ncRNA
UAGUACACUUUUUUCUCUUCUCCUCCUCGCCCAUUAGCUCUCAUCACGUUUUGGUGGCUUACACGCCGGAAUUUAUGGGAGGCAAAAGGAAACGACAUGAUGAUGAAAAGGGUAUGCAGUUAAGAAGGUGAAACCGACAAACGGAAAA